rnacentral:lncRNA from 1 species
UAAAAUCAGAAAUUGAACUACAUAAUUUAGCACUAUGUUAAGAAAUCGUAACACGAUUCAUGUAGGAAUCACCCAUUUUGUGAUCGAUCAACAAAACUCUAUGCACUUUAUCAAUUUCUGAAGUUAAAUUGAAUUUUUAACUCAGAAAUUGAAAGACAUCUGUGAAAAACCGAUUUUAAGCGACAAAAAAGAUACGAAAAUUAAACCAAAAGAAUUUAGGGUUAUGUUAAGCAGUCGUAAAGCGAUUCAUGUAGGAAU